UACGAAGGGGGCUAGCGUUGCUCGGAAUGACUGGGCGUAAAGGGCGCGUAGGCGGUGCGGUAAGUCUGCGGUGAAAUCUCCCGGCUCAACUGGGAGUCUGCCGUGGAAACUGCCGUGCUUGAGUGUGGGAGAGGUGAGUGGAAUUCCCGGUGUAGCGGUGAAAUGCGUAGAUAGUCGGGAGGAACACCUGUGGCGAAAGCGGCUCACUGGACCACAACUGACGCUGAGGCGCGAAAAGCGUGGGGAGCCGAACAGG
rnacentral:rRNA from 1 species